UACGUAGGGUGCGAGCGUUGUCCGGAAUUACUGGGCGUAAAGAGCUCGUAGGUGGUUUGUCGCGUUGUUCGUGAAAACUCAGGGCUUAACCCUGGGCGUGCGGGCGAUACGGGCAGACUGGAGUACUGCAGGGGAGACUGGAAUUCCUGGUGUAGCGGUGGAAUGCGCAGAUAUCAGGAGGAACACCAGUGGCGAAGGCGGCUCACUGGCCCGGUACUGACGCUGAGGUGCGAAAGCGUGGGGAGCAAACAGG
rnacentral:rRNA from 1 species